AACUGUGGGGUCAGGGAGUUUUUAAGCAUGUCCUUUGUUUUCACUUUUCUUCAAGAUGGUACAAUAUGAAACGUUACCCAAAUAUGUCCAAAAUACCAGCCUACAACAUCUCAUUUGCAUUUGUUUUGAUAAUUGCUACUGUCACAAGUGACUGUAUAUAUUUUCCUUAGUUUCAUUUAUUCAUUGAAUUGAUUUAUUUGGUUGAGUGGUUUUGAGUGUUUGUGUGUGUAUGUGUGUGUGGAUUCAGUGAUAGGUUGUAAGUUCCAGUGAUGAAUAUUCAGUAUUGUUGAGUAAGCCAUUCAUGGUAUGUGGGUGUGCCAAGGAAAAUGCUUUGUUACCCGUGUGUGCCAUUGUUAGCAGUAUGAGUGAUCAGUAGAGUAUGAAUAUUUGCCAAAUGCCUUCCAAAAUUCCUUGCAUGGGAGCGGCUUGGGGUUUUGCCUAUGCUUAGCUGCUGCAGGCACUUGCUCGCCAGACACACGAGAGAGAGGACCUAUUUUGUCCUGAAACUAGAAUCAUACAGCUAGUCUGAUGUUAUUGCCAGCUUUAGCCUGAACAGCCAACAAUCACAGUUCUAUACUGACAGUCUGUGGUCUGCAUAAAAAGCUGACAUUGUAUGCAACUCCGAGAGAGUUUCGAAGAUGCUAACUAUGGCACAUAGAAUGGGGAGAUAUUUCUACCGAGUAGAGUGAGCCUCGCACUACCCUGAGGAACUGAAGCUCUUGUCAAGGACCCCUACCUCUACCGGACCCCUUGGACCGGAAUCUGAGUGAUGCUGCAUAGACAGUUGGCAGGCUGACAAGGACCUGGCGGCAAUCACCUUUAUGAUUGUAUAAAAUAACUGGCGAAAUACCAUAACCUUGAUUUGGAUUUUGAAUGUGAGAGUGUAAAUAUUUUUAAAUCAACAAGAUUGAAAGAAGGAUUAGUAAUUAUUCAAUUUUCCCGAAGAUAAUAUUUGAUGUGGUAUUGGCAAUUUAAAUGAAUUGAGAUUAAUACAGAAAGAAAAGAAGGUAUGACCUAAUAUUGAAGAAGUGUUUGAACCGAAAUUGAAGAAGUGUUUGAACCAAAAUUGGAAGAAGUGUUUGAACAAAAAUAAAAGAAGUGUUAUUGAAAGAGUAAAUUGUGAUAGAAACAGAAAGGUUUCAAAUUAAACAGAAGAGAAAAUUGAUAAACUUGAAGUGAAUUACGAUUUGUAAUUUUGAGGUCAAAUUGAAGUGGCGUGAUUAAUAAGUGAAUCUAAGAAACAAAUUGAGAAUUUUUGAGAUUGAACGAAGAUUUUGUGAUUGAAGUUUAAGAAGUGAAAGUUUGAAACUUCACGGGUUAAUUGGUGAUUUGAAGUUGUGAAUUGUUACAAGUUGAGAAUUAAGGUUAUUAGAAGUAAUUGUGGUGAUAAAACACUAAGUGUCAAACAAGGAGUGUUUGAGUUAAAGAUUCACGAAAUUUGAAGGAAAGUGUAGAAAUUGAAAAUUGGAAUAUAAUUAAGAGGUGAAGAUUUGAGAAUUGAAAAUUUGAAGAAUUGAUAGAUUUAAUAGAAUUGAGUGAUAAAUUUGACUUAAGUGAUCAACCUAGAUUGGACUAUGCCAUUUUGUGGAAUUGAAUAAUUGAAUUACGGGUACAACUCAUCUAGAUAUCGUGAGCUAUUUUACUGAUUAGAUUUCAGAAUGCAUCGAUUACUGAAUUUUAGAAUCUCAAAUAAUUUUAGUGCAGCUCAUGUAAAAUCCUCUUUCUAAUUGUGACGUCCAUUUUAUAACUUUAAAAUUGUAAAUUUGGAGACGAAUACUUGAGAUUUUAAAACUUGUCUGGGCCCAAAUUUCCGUUCAAUCAUUUGAGUGUAAUUUCAUAUCAUAGUUUCUGGAAUUGGUAAAUUUUGAUAGUGAAUAAGAGACAGUUUAAGUGAAUAAGUUUGAGCACCCAA